rnacentral:rRNA from 1 species
AACUAACGCUGGCGGCGUGCCUAACACAUGCAAGUCGUACGAGAAAGCCGGCUUCGGCUGGUGAGUAAAGUGGCGCACGGGUGAGUAACGCGUGGAUAAUCUGCCCUUAAGUGUGGAAUAACGUACCGAAAGGUGCGCUAAUACCGCAUAAUGCCUGGCAACACAAGUUGUCCGGCCAAAGAAGGCCUCUGUUUACAAGCUUUCGCUUCAGGAUGAGUCCGCGUACCAUUAGCUUGUUGGUGGGGUAAUGGCCUACCAAGGCUGCGAUGGUUAGCUGGUCUGAGAGGAUGAUCAGCCACACUGGAACUGAGACACGGUCCAGACUCCUACGGGAGGCAGCAGUGAGGAAUAUUGCGCAAUGGGGGAAACCCUGACGCAGCGACGCCGUGUGAGCGAUGAAGGCCUUCGGGUCGUAAAGCUCUGUCAGAGGGAAAGAAAGGGUCGGCGGAAUAAUACCCGCCGACAUUGACGGUACCCUCGGAGGAAGCACCGGCUAACUCCG